GAUGAACGCUAGCGGCAGGCUUAACACAUGCAAGUCGAGGGGCAGCGGGUUGUAGCAAUACAAUGCCGGCGACCGGCGAAAGGGUGAGUAACGCGUGAGCAACAUGCCCGAUACUGGAGGAUAGUCGAUGGAAACGUCGCGUAAUACUCCGUAACAACAGAGACCGCAUGAUCUUUGUUUAAUAGAUUUAUCGGUAUCGGAUUGGCUCGCGUCCCAUUAGGCAGUUGGCGGGGUAACGGCCCACCAAACCGACGAUGGGUAGGGGUUCUGAGAGGAAGGUCCCCCACAUUGGAACUGAGACACGGUCCAGACUCC
rnacentral:rRNA from 1 species